rnacentral:rRNA from 2 species
UCAAAGAUUAAGCCAUGCAUGUCUAAGUAUAAGCGAGUAUACUGCGAAACUGCGAAUGGCUCAUUAAAUCAGUUAUGGUUUAUUUGAUGGUACCUUGCUACUUGGAUAACCGUAGUAAUUCUAGAGCUAAUACAUGCAGGAGUUCCCGACUUCGGAAGGGAUGUAUUUAUUAGAUAAGAAACCAAACCGGAAACGGUUGUGUGCUGAGUCAUAAUAACUGCUCGAAUCGCACGGCUCUACGCUGGCGAUGGUUCAUUCAAAUUUCUGCCCUAUCAGCUUUCGAUGGUAGGAUAGAGGCCUACCAUGGCGUUAACGGGUAACGGAGAAUUAGGGUUCGAUUCCGGAGAGGGAGCCUGAGAAAUGGCUACCACAUCCAAGGAAGGCAGCAGGCGCGUAAAUUGCCCGAAUCCUGACACAGGGAGGUAGUGACAAGAAAUAACAAUACAGGGCUCUUCGAGUCUUGUAAUUGGAAUGAGUACAAUUUACAUCUCUUCACGAGGAUCAAUUGGAGGGCAAGUCUGGUGCCAGCAGCCGCGGUAAUUCCAGCUCCAAUAGCGUAUAUUAAAGUUGUUGCAGUUAAAACGCUCGUAGUCGGAUUUCGGGGCGGGCCCGCCGGUCUGCCGAUGGGUACGCACUGGCGGGCGCGCCCUUCCUCCCGGAGACGUCCGCUACUCUUAACUGAGCGGUGGCCGGAGACGGGAUAUUUACUUUGAAAAAAUCAGAGUGUUUCAAGCAGGCAGUCGCUCUUGCAUGGAUUAGCAUGGGAUAAUGAAAUAGGACUCUGGUGCUAUUUUGUUGGUUUCGAGCACC